rnacentral:rRNA from 1 species
UGGGGAAUUUUGGACAAUGGGCGAAUGCCUGAUCCAGCCAUGCCGCGUGCGGGAAGAAGGCCUUCGGGUUGUAAACCGCUUUUGACAGGGAAGAAACGAGUUUCUCUAAUACAGAGACUUAAUGACGGUACCUGAAGAAUAAGCACCGGCUAACUACGUGCCAGCAGCCGCGGUAAUACGUAGGGUGCAAGCGUUAAUCGGAAUUACUGGGCGUAAAGCGUGCGCAGGCGGUUAUGCAAGACAGAUGUGAAAUCCCCGGGCUCAACCUGGGACCUGCAUUUGUGACUGUAUAGCUAGAGUACGGUAGAGGGGGACGGAAUUCCGCGUGUAGCAGUGAAAUGCGUAGAUAUGCGGAGGAACACCGAUGGCGAAGGCAGCCUCCUGGGCCAGUACUGACGCUCAUGCACGAAAGCGUGGGGAGCAAACA